rnacentral:tRNA from 7 species
AGACCUAUAGCUCAACUGGAUAGAGCGUUCCCCUGCUAAGGGAAGGGUUGCGGGUUCAAAUCCCGCUAGGUAGA